rnacentral:rRNA from 1 species
GACGAACGCUGGCGGCGUGCCUAAUACAUGCAAGUAGAACGCUGAAGAGAGGAGCUUGCUCUUCUUGGAUGAGUUGCGCACGGGUGAGUAACGCGUAGGUAACCUGCCUGGUAGCGGGGGAUAACUAUUGGAAACGAUAGCUAAUACCGCAUAAAAUGGAUUAUCGCAUGAUAAUCCAUUGAAAGGUGCAAAUGCAUCACUACCAGAUGGACCUGCGUUGUAUUAGCUAGUUGGUGGGGUAACGGCUCACCAAGGCGACGAUACAUAGCCGACCUGAGAGGGUGAUCGGCCACACUGGGACUGAGACACGGCCCAGACUCCUACGGGAGGCAGCAGUAGGGAAUCUUCGGCAAUGGACGGAAGUCUGACCGAGCAACGCCGCGUGAGUGAAGAAGGUUUUCGGAUCGUAAAGCUCUGUUGUAAGAGAAGAACGAGUGUGAGAGUGGAAAGUUCACACUGUGACGGUAUCUUACCAGAAAGGGACGGCUAACUACGUG